AUUGAACGCUGGCGGCAGGCCUAACACAUGCAAGUCGAACGAGUGGCGGACGGGUGAGUAAUGUCUGGGAAACUGCCCGAUGGAGGGGGAUAACUACUGGAAACGGUAGCUAAUACCGCAUACCAUCGGAUGUGCCCAGAUGGGAUUAGCUAGUAGGGGGGGUAACGGCCUAGCUAGGCGACGAGCCCUAGCUGGUCUGCGAGGAUGACCAGCCACACUGGGACUGAGACACGGUCCAGACUCCUACGGGAGGCAGCAGUGGGGAAUAUUGCACAAUGGGCGCAAGCCUGAUGCAGCCAUGCCGAGUGUAUGAAGAAGGCCUUCGGGUUGUAAAGUACUUUCGGCGAGGAGGCGUUACUCGCAGAGGAAGCACCGGCUAACUCCGUGCCAGCAGCCGCGGUAAUAC
rnacentral:rRNA from 1 species